rnacentral:rRNA from 1 species
AUUGAACGCUGGCGGCAUGCUUUACACAUGCAAGUCGAACGGCAGCGCGGGCUUCGGCCUGGCGGCGAGUGGCGAACGGGUGAGUAAUACAUCGGAACGUGCCCAGUAGUGGGGGAUAGCUCGGCGAAAGCCGGAUUAAUACCGCAUCCGACCUGAGGGUGAAAGCGGGGGAUCUUCUGACCUCGCGCUAUUGGAGCGGCCGAUGGCAGAUUAGCUAGUUGGUGGGGUAAAGGCCUACCAAGGCGACGAUCUGUAGCUGGUCUGAGAGGACGACCAGCCACACUGGGACUGAGACACGGCCCAGACUCCUACGGGAGGCAGCAGUGGGGAAUUUUGGACAAUGGGCGAAAGCCUGAUCCAGAAAUGCCGCGUGUGUGAUGAAGGCCUUCGGGUUGUAAAGCACUUUUGGAGGGAACGAAAAGGACUGUGCCAAUACCACGGUUCGAUGACGGUACCCGCAGAAUAAGCACCGGCUAACUACGUG